CCCCUAGAUGUUCUGGGCCGCACGCGCGCUACACUGAACAGUUCAACAAGUCUUAACCUUGGCCGAUAGGUCUGGGUAAUCUUUGAACGCUGUUCGUGAUUGGGAUAGACCUUUGCAAUUAUGGGUCUUCAACGAGGAAUUCCUAGUAAACGCAAGUCAUCAGCUUGCAUUGAUUACGUCCCUGCCCUUUGUACACACCGCCCGUCGCACCUACCGAUUGAAUGGUCCGGUGAAGCCUCCGGAUUGGCGUGCACCCUCGGGUGCUGCCGAGAAGUUGGCUAAACCUUACCAUUUAGAGGAAGGUGAANUCGUANCA
rnacentral:rRNA from 1 species